UGCUCUUACACAGGGACUCAGGACAGUGC
rnacentral:piRNA from 1 species